GGUUAAGCGACUAAGCGUACACGGUGGAUGCCCUGGCAGUCAGAGGCGAUGAAGGACGUGCUAAUCUGCGAUAAGCGUCGGUAAGGUGAUAUGAACCGUUAUAACCGGCGAUUUCCGAAUGGGGAAACCCAGUGUGUUUCGACACACUAUCAUUAACUGAAUCCAUAGGUUAAUGAGGCGAACCGGGGGAACUGAAACAUCUAAGUACCCCGAGGAAAAGAAAUCAACCGAGAUUCCCCCAGUAGCGGCGAGCGAACGGGGAGCAGCCCAGAGCCUGAAUCAGUAUGUGUGUUAGUGGAAGCGUCUGGAAAGGCGCGCGAUACAGGGUGACAGCCCCGUACACAAAAAUGCACAUAUUGUGAGCUCGAUGAGUAGGGCGGGACACGUGGUAUCCUGUCUGAAUAUGGGGGGACCAUCCUCCAAGGCUAAAUACUCCUGACUGACCGAUAGUGAACCAGUACCGUGAGGGAAAGGCGAAAAGAACCCCGGCGAGGGGAGUGAAAAAGAACCUGAAACCGUGUACGUACAAGCAGUGGGAGCACGCUUAGGCGUGUGACUGCGUACCUUUUGUAUAAUGGGUCAGCGACUUAUAUUCUGUAGCAAGGUUAACCGAAUAGGGGAGCCGAAGGGAAACCGAGUCUUAACUGGGCGUUAAGUUGCAGGGUAUAGACCCGAAACCCGGUGAUCUAGCCAUGGGCAGGUUGAAGGUUGGGUAACACUAACUGGAGGACCGAACCGACUAAUGUUGAAAAAUUAGCGGAUGACUUGUGGCUGGGGGUGAAAGGCCAAUCAAACCGGGAGAUAGCUGGUUCUCCCCGAAAGCUAUUUAGGUAGCGCCUCGUGAAUUCAUCUCCGGGGGUAGAGCACUGUUUCGGCAAGGGGGUCAUCCCGACUUACCAACCCGAUGCAAACUGCGAAUACCGGAGAAUGUUAUCACGGGAGACACACGGCGGGUGCUAACGUCCGUCGUGAAGAGGGAAACAACCCAGACCGCCAGCUAAGGUCCCAAAGUCAUGGUUAAGUGGGAAACGAUGUGGGAAGGCCCAGACAGCCAGGAUGUUGGCUUAGAAGCAGCCAUCAUUUAAAGAAAGCGUAAUAGCUCACUGGUCGAGUCGGCCUGCGCGGAAGAUGUAACGGGGCUAAACCAUGCACCGAAGCUGCGGCAGCGACGCUUAUGCGUUGUUGGGUAGGGGAGCGUUCUGUAAGCCUGUGAAGGUGUGCUGUGAGGCAUGCUGGAGGUAUCAGAAGUGCGAAUGCUGACAUAAGUAACGAUAAAGCGGGUGAAAAGCCCGCUCGCCGGAAGACCAAGGGUUCCUGUCCAACGUUAAUCGGGGCAGGGUGAGUCGACCCCUAAGGCGAGGCCGAAAGGCGUAGUCGAUGGGAAACAGGUUAAUAUUCCUGUACUUGGUGUUACUGCGAAGGGGGGACGGAGAAGGCUAUGUUGGCCGGGCGACGGUUGUCCCGGUUUAAGCGUGUAGGCUGGUUUUCCAGGCAAAUCCGGAAAAUCAAGGCUGAGGCGUGAUGACGAGGCACUACGGUGCUGAAGCAACAAAUGCCCUGCUUCCAGGAAAAGCCUCUAAGCAUCAGGUAACAUCAAAUCGUACCCCAAACCGACACAGGUGGUCAGGUAGAGAAUACCAAGGCGCUUGAGAGAACUCGGGUGAAGGAACUAGGCAAAAUGGUGCCGUAACUUCGGGAGAAGGCACGCUGAUAUGUAGGUGAAGUCCCUCGCGGAUGGAGCUGAAAUCAGUCGAAGAUACCAGCUGGCUGCAACUGUUUAUUAAAAACACAGCACUGUGCAAACACGAAAGUGGACGUAUACGGUGUGACGCCUGCCCGGUGCCGGAAGGUUAAUUGAUGGGGUUAGCCGCAAGGCGAAGCUCUUGAUCGAAGCCCCGGUAAACGGCGGCCGUAACUAUAACGGUCCUAAGGUAGCGAAAUUCCUUGUCGGGUAAGUUCCGACCUGCACGAAUGGCGUAAUGAUGGCCAGGCUGUCUCCACCCGAGACUCAGUGAAAUUGAACUCGCUGUGAAGAUGCAGUGUACCCGCGGCAAGACGGAAAGACCCCGUGAACCUUUACUAUAGCUUGACACUGAACAUUGAGCCUUGAUGUGUAGGAUAGGUGGGAGGCUUAGAAGUGUGGACGCCAGUCUGCAUGGAGCCGACCUUGAAAUACCACCCUUUAAUGUUUGAUGUUCUAACGUUGACCCGUAAUCCGGGUUGCGGACAGUGUCUGGUGGGUAGUUUGACUGGGGCGGUCUCCUCCUAAAGAGUAACGGAGGAGCACGAAGGUUGGCUAAUCCUGGUCGGACAUCAGGAGGUUAGUGCAAUGGCAUAAGCCAGCUUGACUGCGAGCGUGACGGCGCGAGCAGGUGCGAAAGCAGGUCAUAGUGAUCCGGUGGUUCUGAAUGGAAGGGCCAUCGCUCAACGGAUAAAAGGUACUCCGGGGAUAACAGGCUGAUACCGCCCAAGAGUUCAUAUCGACGGCGGUGUUUGGCACCUCGAUGUCGGCUCAUCACAUCCUGGGGCUGAAGUAGGUCCCAAGGGUAUGGCUGUUCGCCAUUUAAAGUGGUACGCGAGCUGGGUUUAGAACGUCGUGAGACAGUUCGGUCCCUAUCUGCCGUGGGCGCUGGAGAACUGAGGGGGGCUGCUCCUAGUACGAGAGGACCGGAGUGGACGCAUCACUGGUGUUCGGGUUGUCAUGCCAAUGGCACUGCCCGGUAGCUAAAUGCGGAAGAGAUAAGUGCUGAAAGCAUCUAAGCACGAAACUUGCCCCGAGAUGAGUUCUCCCUGACUCCUUGAGAGUCCUGAAGGAACGUUGAAGACGACGACGUUGAUAGGCCGGGUGUGUAAGCGCAGCGAUGCGUUGAGCUAACCGGUACUAAUGAACCGUGAGGCUUAACCUU
rnacentral:rRNA from 1 species